rnacentral:ncRNA from 2 species
AGAUUAUCAAGAGCGCGGUGAGGGAAUGGACCCUGUGAACCGCCAGCAACCCCGAGCAAGUCGAAGGGUGCUAAUUUCCACCCUUCACGGGAAAGAUAAAAU